rnacentral:rRNA from 1 species
UACGUAGGGUGCAAGCGUUAAUCGGAAUUACUGGGCGUAAAGCGUGCGCAGGCGGUUAUGUAAGACAGAUGUGAAAUCCCCGGGCUCAACCUGGGAACUGCAUUUGUGACUGCAUAGCUAGAGUACGGUAGAGGGGGAUGGAAUUCCGCGUGUAGCAGUGAAAUGCGUAGAUAUGCGGAGGAACACCCGUGGCGAAGGCGGCGCCCUGGUCCGUUACUGACGCUGAGACGCGAAAGCGCGGGGAGCGAAUGGG